rnacentral:rRNA from 1 species
UACGGGGGGAGCAAGCGUUGUUCGGAUUUACUGGGCGUAAAGGGCGCGUAGGCGGCGUGACAAGUCACUUGUGAAAUCUCCGGGCUUAACUCGGAACGGUCAAGUGAUACUGUCGUGCUAGAGUGCGGAAGGGGCAACUGGAAUUCUUGGUGUAGCGGUGAAAUGCGUAGAUAUCAGGAAGAACAUCGGUGGCGAAGGCGGCUCUCUGGGACGGUACUGACGCUGAGACGCGAAAGCGUGGGGAGCGAACAGG